GAGGGUAUAGCUCAGUGGGUAGAGCACAUGCUUAGCAUGCACAAGGUCAUGGGUUUGACUCCAAGUACCUCUG
rnacentral:tRNA from 1 species